rnacentral:rRNA from 1 species
UACGUAGGGUGCAAGCGUUGCCCGGAUUUAUUGGGCGUAAAGGGCGCGCAGGCGGCCCGGCGCGUCCGCGGUGAAAGCUCCCGGCUCAACUGGAAGAGGUCCGCGGAAACGGUCGGGCUGGAGCAAGGUAGGGGGUCGUGGAAUUCCCGGUGUAGUGGUGGAAUGCGUAGAGAUCGGGAGGAACACCAGUGGCGAAGGCGGCGACCUGGACCUGUGCUGACGCUGAGGCGCGAAAGCGUGGGGAGCGAUCCGG